GAGCGCGUGGUCGUGAGCACAUGGAAGUGCGGUCGAGAUUUGUGUCUGGGAGACGCGACAGAUCUGGAAUAUUCAGGAAUAUAAAGCACCAUACAGAAGUAAGAAAAGACAUCGGACUGGCAGGCCAUGUGUGAAGGGCCCUUGGUGAGUGUUGGACGGUGAGGGGGUCCUGGGACGUCCUCUGAAGCCCUGGUCCUGUCCUCGCGCUACCAUGUUGUCACUCCAGUUAUCUGCAGGAAAGAAUGCACCAUGCCAUUAAUGAGGUGGAUUUUUGCAGACCACCCCUCCUCUUUCUCUUUCUGUCUGUCUCUUUGUCUCUGUCUCAGUCUCCACUGCUGCUGAAGACUGAAGACAUGAACUGUACAGGGUCAUGCAAUGGCAGCUGCUGGUUCCUGCCCUCCUCUCGGCUCUGACCGGAGUGCACUGGAUGUGGUCAGCUGAGUUGAAUGCAGCGUCACGCGUCGGAUCCCACGCACAAUCACUACAAGACUCAGGUCAUGAAUGAAUGAUCGGGGGGGAUGCCCAAAGAAGUGCUCUGUCCCUCAUGUGUGACCUCAUAGUGCCCGCUCCGAGGCAGGUUCCCGCUCCCUCCCCUCUCUUUUGAUGUGGCCCAGUGUUUGUUCACCAGCGCCAGCGGUCUGACGGCCCAUUCACACACGGGACACUUGCUAAAUCCCUGAGCGCAGCCCGGCCAGCAGCCCCAUUGUGUAACCAUGACGCUGGAGAUCUUGUAUGUGAGCGACUUCCCCUACAGCGGUGUGUGCAUGGUAAAAAGUGCCCAGACAUGCUGCAGCUGCAGCAGUGGAGCAGAUCAUUUACUGUUUAUGAAGUCUGCAAAUCAUCAUGAAACAAGCAAACACAGGUGGAAUAAGGGCAUUGAAGAGGACGAUUGACUUACGUGUUGUUCCUGAACCAUCCUUUUAACACUCCUUACAACAUAACAUAAACUACAAUAAUUUAAUAUAAAUAUUUAGGUCCUGUGAUACAUCUUCGUAGAGACAGGCAACUGGCAGAACAUCCACCAGAAAAGUAACACAGUGCACCUUUAAAUAUUAUAAUAUUCAAACGGGGGGGUGCUAUCAGUAGUGCUCUUUAGUUGUUGGUCAGUACUGUCAUUUUAACUGCAUUCAUUAACAGCACAUUCAUGGUUAGGUCAUUACCACGCCCAUUACUAUGCUAUGUAGACAUUUCUAAAAGUCAUACUGCAAUAAAUUACAAUAAUUUUAAUAUAAAUAUUUAGGUAUUGUGAUUUAUUUAAAUAAAUUCUCUGGGUAUGCAUUAGGCUACUUUCUCAUGCAUUAUAUAUAUUAAGACAACUGGGUGCCAUAUGACUUUCACAUUUCACUCCAAAGUGUACGGAAAUUGCACAAACAUUUGGGUAUUGAAAUUUCGUAUCUUUUUUUUUUUUUAUAUAUUGAGUACCUUCACUCUGACUCAUUGCUAGGGGAAGUCUGACUUGCAUGUACGCAUAUGUGCUAGUUAAACUCUCCAUUCAUUUGGGGACUUCCCUCGACUCUACAAUACUCUCUGUUCUGCUUGUUGCCAGUUAAAAAUGUCACUCAUUAUUAUCAGUAUGCAUAGAUUUGGUUGUAUUGUUGCAGUCAUUUGAAGGCGAUGCUGUCCAAUGAGUUCUCAGUGGGGAGGCGGAGUUGUGAAUGCCCUCCGUGCUUACACAGAUGCUGCCGUUUAGACAAGGGCAUGAGAAAGGUGAGGGAGGAAAAGAUCAGAAUCUGUGUGGGUUUCUAAAUAGCGUAUCGUUGCUAUAUGUAUGUCAUAUCUAGGAUUAUCUUGAUUUCAUUUGGGAGGUUCAGGGAAGGUCAUUAUUGAUAUUUAUUAAAACGUGUUCUGGUUGAAAUUACACAAGAUAUUUUGCAUCUAUUUGUGACUUUUUAUGCCUCUGAAAAUGUUGUUUCCAAGAUGUCAAUACUAAUUUCUUGUAUUAUAAUAACUAAAACAUAAUCUGAAAAAUAAAAUUGUUGGCUAUCCAUUUUUACGCGAAGGGUCUGCCACCUGCUCGUCGCUAUGGAGAUGUACCGUAAUUGCUUUGCCUGGGAUUUUCAUAGUAUAGUAAGGCAACCCCACUCACUCACUGCAUGAAUGUAUGUUUUUCAAGGUAUUUCUGAUCAAUAAAUCACCUCUAAUUGAAUAAGAUAAGUUGCAACAAGAUAAAUUCAAGCAAAUGCCACAUCCUCCACUAGAAACUUACAUAGUGCACCUUAAAAAAAAUAAUAAACAGCAUUUAUUUUUCAUCAUGCUAAAAAACCCCAAAGUAACCAAGCUAACUAAUCUACUUGUAAACAACAACUAAGUGGCCUGGGAAUUUUACCAGUGACUCAGGGUGUGUGAAAAUUCGUCAAACAAAGCACCACUUGACUGCUGCUGCCUCCACAUUUGACAUUUCAAUCAUAACAAACUGCAUGUACCAAGCACAUGAGAGCCCUAUGGAAAGUACUCAUUUUUAGCAUGUAAAUGGCUGCAUCAGAAAACCUCACCAUGUUGAUUUUAAUGUGGUAAACCGCUCUUCUCUGCAGACUUAUCACGCUCAUCAAUACAAGUUCAUUUGUCGCUUGAGUUGUGACACACUUCUAGGAACAAAGUCUUCAGCGAAAAACCUGCUAGUUCUUUGAAACCCAAAAUAAACCCAGUGGCAGUUAGAUCUUAACACUCACGACUAUAUAUAAAGGCCCGAGGUUAAACACAGGAAUCCAAAAGGUACAGCCUCCUCAUCAUAAACCAAUCAAAGGUUAGUUUGUUAAGGUGUAAAUUAAAGGCGCUGUGCCACAUGUUUACUGUCUUAAAAAAAGUGAAAACAGAAAUAGUUCAAUUUAAACGGUUUGCAGUGGUUAUGAAUUAUUUUUCACUGACUUAAUAUGCAUUCCUAAUUAUUCACAGCGAUGACUUAUAAGUACCAGACCAGAGGGAUGUUAGCCACAAUUCAACAACUAACAUGCUAAUCUGCACUUCCUGAUUCAUGGACCAGAAAACACUUUAUAAUUGAAUGCAGACAGUACAAAGUGUGCGUAAUUAGACCUCACAAGCUGCUUAACCAAGACAAGACAAAUUUUGCUCAAAUAUGUAAAAAAAAAAAAUCAGGUACAGGCCCCUUAAGUCUCUUGGGAGUGAACAGGUCAGCAGUUUGGCUUAUCAUUUUUGGAGAUGCAGUUAAACUUGGAUUAAUUGCGAGUUUGCAGUCUGUCUGUGGAGUGGCAGAGGUGUUGGGGGAGCGUUAAAGAUUAGCAUUGCAAAUAGUAACAGCAGACUGGCAUUUAAAUGGGAAUUAUUAAUGAGACUGGGGUUUGAAGAUGUGCAUUCGCUUCACAAAUGAACGUUGUGGGUUGAUCGGGUCAGAGAAAUGUGCAGUGCAAUCAAAGUAUGUUCUGAUACAAAACAUAGCUUUUUAUGUUAUAAUUAUCCACAUGAUUUGGAAUAUUACAGCAAUUUGUAAGGUCAAUAGCCUGGAGUAUUGGGGGCUGGGUUGUUCUAAGGCUGCUAACAUAGCCUUUGGUGCCCAGAGUCAAGACUAAACAUGGGGAAUCAGCGUUUCAGUUGACAGGCCUCCACUUUGACAGUGUUUAUAUCCAGGCUCAAAAUGGUUCUGUUUAGCUGUGCUUAUGACUGAAAGUGUUUUUAUUCUGCACUCUUCGCUUUUAAUGUUCAUUUUGUGAUGAUUAUUUAUGUUUUGAUUUGUUUGCAUUGGGAUUUUAAUGUAUUUCUUAUUCUGUAAACCACUUUGAAUUACGUCGUGUAUGAAUUGUGCUCUACAAAUAAACUUAUCUUGUCUUGCCUUUUG